rnacentral:tRNA from 2 species
GGUCCGUUGGCCCAAUGGUAAGGCGUCUGACUACGACUACCAAUAGUUAAUCAGGAGAUUCUGGGUUCGACCCCCAGGCGGACCU